UGGGAUCAAUAAAAGCUGAGGUGAUGGC
rnacentral:piRNA from 1 species